UGGGUGGUUGUCUCAGGGUACUAUGUCUCCCUCCACCAAUAAAAGCGGGCCCUCUUGUAUAGGAAAUUCAAGCAGCAACAAACACAUUAUUUUUUAUUUUUUUACCAGUACUAGUAUAUGGAUAUCAAUAAAACUUUCAAAGAAUUUUAGUUCAUUUCAUACAAUGAGGAUGUGUAAAAUGUUGUGACAUUGAGUCUUGUUUGCACUUUGAUUUCUCAACUUUUCCAACUCCAGUAACUUGAUUUCAAUAACUUUGUUGGCACCAUAGUAGCCCUGAACCUUACCAUAUAUAAUGUGGUAUUAAUCACAAUAUAAUUUUCAACAUUAUUCCAAAAAGCAACUAAUCAAAUGAGCAAUAUAGAAAUAAAACGUAAAUAUUUUAUAUUACUUUAUUUUUUAUAGACAUGUAUAGUUCUGAGAACAUAUCCACAACAUUGCACAAAAUAUUCUUAAAUAAAUAAAUUCUACUACAAAAUGAUAAAUCAUUCUCACAUCAUUGGCACACUAUAAACACCAAGAGAAGAUGUACUGUGUUAGUCUGAAAUAUGUAACUAAAAUACUGGAGGUUUUCUGCUAUUUGAUAUUUUACCCCAAAAUUUUGGUUUACAAAAUUCUUUACCAUAUCUAAUAAACCUCAAAUCAUCGGGAGUAGACUUUACUUAUAAUGAUAUGGAAAAUAAAAAUCAUUAUUAUUUUAGCUGUUUAGAUAAACUGGCCUAUAAACUAUUAUCAAUAAACUGGUUUAAAUGCAGAUGGGUAAUGUCUGUUCUCCAAAUCUUAUCUAUGAGAGUCAGUUAAUUGCAUCUAAUAUAGUGUCAACUUCCAGUCCCAGAUGACUAAAUGAGAAAAAGACAACUGUCGCUUACUGAUUUUCAAAUCUCAUAUAUCAAUUUUAAAAGACAAAUCAAUUAAAAAACAAACUGAGAGAAUCCCAUGAACUCCAAUAGCAGCAAUACUGGGUACAUGUACAUCAACAGGGUAUGCAUCUACCGAUUAGCAUGUAUCACCCCCAUGCAAAUCCACAUUUUAUUUAUAUGAAUCAUAAAUCAGACAAACACAGUCCAUGUUUUCUUGGUAAGUAAUCAAACAAAAUGCAAUAAGAAAGCAUGAUUAUGUUCCAGUCUCAUGGUUAAUAUCAAAACUCAUUUGAGCUGGGUUACGUACAAAAGUUUACCAAGCAAGAAAAAUAUUACUUACUGUUUUGACAAAGCACUAGUUAUAUAAUUGUAAACUUGUUUAAGAUGAUCAUUAUUUGACAUCUUUACAGGUGUCUUGCAAACAUUUGUAAUACUGUAAUUCAUGCACUAAAAGUUAUUGUUACUGGAAGUUCUUCAUUUAACUAAACAGGCGUAAAAAAUAUUUUGAUGUAGACAGUAUUUAUUAGGAUGAAAAUUAACGGAUAAAUUCAUUAUUUGAAUGAUCCCAAAUUAAAUAUUGCUUUAUUACUUGAAAUAUGAAAUUUUUUCAAUGCCUAAAUUUCAAAUGCCAAUUAAAAUAGCAUUCAAAUCUCCACUACUUUGAAAAUCCAGUUUUUCCUGGUUUCAUUUUGUUUCCUCAUUCAAACAAUUUCUGUUAUUUACUCAAUUGCAUUUAAAAAUAUUACAAUGUUCUGAUCUACCAAUACUUGUUAACAAAUGAGUACAUUUUUCAUUGUACAUUGUAUUUCUACUUUUCAGUUCUUCGAAACAA
rnacentral:lncRNA from 1 species